ensembl:lincRNA
UUUUUGUGAUAAGAGUUACAUCCAAGGUUUUUAUAUAUUAUGCAAACUUGAACACCCAUGUACAACAACCUAACACUUGAAAUUUGCUUGCUUUUAAAAUUAGUUAUCUAAUAAAAAUAGCAAUAAAGAUAGCAAUCCUUAUUCUUAGGCCAUAGUGUCAGAGGUAGAUACAGAGAAACCUUUUUUUCUGAUUACUGAAUUGUAGUUUUUAUUUUACUGAAUGAUCAAUUACUUUUUAAAAACGCUAUUUAAAUUGUUUCUUAAAGAAACAUCUACCUGAAUAAUAAAACCACACAAUUUUCUAAAGCCCCAAGAAGCUAAAUGGUUUGCUUAAGUUCACCCACCUAAGACUGGGACCCACUUCUCCUGGCUCCCAGACAGUUGCAUCAUUGAUUACACCAUUGUGCUAUUUGCAUUGAUAAUGGUUGAUAACUAAGUCUUAAAAAUUUCUAGAUCCAUCGCCAGGGUCUCUAAUGUAGGCUGUGAUCUCCAAGCUAAGUAUCCUUAUGAAACCAUUUGGAAGAAGAUUUAAACUGGCUGGAAAGUUUAAUGCUAUUAGAAAAUAUUCAUUUUGAUGUAGGAGACAACUCAAUCUGCAACUUACUAUGGAGAUGGUGGUGGAAAUAUGCUUUGGACUGAAAACUGAUCAUAGGGAUCAAUUUCUUGUACAAUUAUGAUGGAAUUUAUGAGACGAAUGGGUUGCUGCUGCCCUCUUUGGUAAGGAAAAUGGAACCUUCCAGUCUCUAUGAUCUCCCUCUAGUGUUUGAAAUUUACGGAUGCUAAAAUAUAAUUAAAAUUAGCUAGAAUAAUUCGUAUUCUUUUCUAGGCACAGCGGCCCCCUGCUCUGCUCUGCUUUCAGAUCAUGCAUGUCUGUGACAUCCGUGAG